GACGAACGCUGGCGGCGUGCCUAAUACAUGCAAGUCGAACGAAGCGGGGACGGGUGAGUAACACGUGGAUACCCUCCGUUAAGACCGGGUCAACGUCGGGAAACCGGUGCAAAACCGGAUAUUCAGAGAUGGAUCCGCGGUGCACUAGCUAGUUGGUAAGGUAACGGCUUACCAAGGCCACGAUGCGUAGCCGACCUGAGAGGGGGAUCGGCCACACUGGAACUGAGACACGGUCCAGACUCCUACGGGAGGCAGCAGUAGGGAAUCUUCCGCAAUGGGCGAAAGCUUGACGGAGCAACGCCGCGUGAGUGAAGAAGGUCUUCGGAUCGUAAAACUCUGUUGUUAGGGAAGCGGUACCUAACCAGAAAGCCACGGCUAACUACGUGCCAGCAGCCGCGGUAAUAC
rnacentral:rRNA from 1 species